rnacentral:rRNA from 1 species
GCCUACCAAGGCGGCGACGGGUAGCCGGCCUGAGAGGGUGACCGGCCACAUUGGGACUGAGAUACGGCCCAGACUCCUACGGGAGGCAGCAGUGGGGAAUAUUGCACAAUGGGCGCAAGCCUGAUGCAGCAACGCCGCGUGCGGGAUGACGGCCUUCGGGUUGUAAACCGCUUUCAGCAGGGACGAAGCUUUUUGUGACGGUACCUGCAGAAGAAGCACCGGCUAACUACGUGCCAGCAGCCGCGGUGAUACGUAGGGUGCGAGCGUUGUCCGGAUUUAUUGGGCGUAAAGGGCUCGUAGGCGGUUGAUCGCGUCGGAAGUGGAAACUUGAUGCUUAACGUUGAGCGUGCUUUCGAUACGGGUUGACUUGAGGAAGGUAGGGGAGAAUGGAAUUCCUGGUGGAGCGGUGGAAUGCGCAGAUAUCAGGAGGAACACCAGUGGCGAAGGCGGUUCUCUGGACCUUUCCUGACGCUGAGGAGCGAAAGCGUGGGGAGCGAACAGGCUUAGAUACCCUGGUAGUCCACGCUGUAAACGGUGGGUACUAGGUGUGGGGUCCAUUCCACGGAUUCUGUGCCGUAGCUAACGCAUUAAGUACCCCGCCUGGGGAGUACGGCCGCAAGGCUAAAACUCAAAGGAAUUGACGGGGCCCCGCACAAGCGGCGGAGCAUGCGGAUUAAUUCGAUGCAACGCGAAGAACCUUACCUGGGUUUGACAUGGAUCGGGAGCUUCCAGAGAUGGUUGUGCCUCUUUUGGGGUCGGUUCACAGGUGG